AUCCGCUGCAGUACAUGGGUUCUGCCAGAAAGAGAGUCUAAAUAACUCAUAAAAACAUCACAAGUAAUCCACUCUAGUCCAUCAGUUAAUGUCUUGUUAAGUGAAAAGCUAUUUGCUUGAUGAGCAUGUAAUGCUAUUCUGAUGAACAAACAAACUCACAUCUUUGAUAAAAGUUUUAGCAAAAUAUCAUUUAAAACACGGUGCAUUAUUAUUAUUGUUAUAUAUGUAUAAAAAUCUGCACUAAUUCUAGGGCACUAAUCGAAAAGGCAUGUUUGUGAUUGAGUAUGUGAACUGUUCAUCUGGUCACAUUCUUGCUUCUUGGAAGUGCUGUCAGAUGUUUGUGAUAAAGUGAUCACUAGGCUCACACUUCGUCUAUUACAGUGCUUAAGAGGAAGUGCUGUUAUGUCUGUUGUGCUCCUGCAGCAUAAUGGAUGUCAUCAUGUAGGACAGAAGAGCUCAUAGCAACCCUUGGAUCUCCUGAGGUACAGCUUUAAAUCUUUUAAAUCUUUUCCCCUCAACUUGAUCGCUCAGCAAGUUUGGAAGCCUCUCCCAUUUGUGAAUCUCAGAGUUUGGGGUAAUGAAUUAUAGAUUUGAGUUUUUCCAAAAAGAAUGCUGGGGAAUUUAUUGUAACUUUUUUUUUUUCUUUGGUCGUAAGCACUCAGCUUUCAUUAAAAUUUAAGAAUUGAGUUUUUGCUUGACUUGUACCUAAAAUGUUCAGAGGCUUUUGUCACAAUACAAGAGCACUGAAAUACCAGUCACACUUAAAGUUUGACUUUGUUUACAAUUUAAAUAUAAUGAAUUAUAUCUUUAAAUUAUAAAUAUUUUAUCUGCAGAAUAUCCCCCACUUGUGAUGUACUUUAGUUGUUCACAGUCACUUAUGUAUUUAUUUGCUUUAUUAUUGCUAUCUCUUUCUACUCUCAACGUUUCUAUUGUCGUUUGUAAAGAUUCAUAGUCACACUUUAUUUAAGGUCUAGUUCUCGCUAUUAAUUACAGUAACUACAACUUUUGCCUUAAACUCCCAAUUACUGCUUAAGGUAUUACUGCUUUGGAUUAGGGAUGUAGAAUAUGGUCAUGCAGAAUAUGUGCUUUUUAAUACUAAUAAUAGCCUAUAUGCUAGUAAUCUGCAUGCUAAUAAGCAGUUUAUAGUGAGAAUUGGU
ensembl:lncRNA